rnacentral:rRNA from 1 species
UUUUGACCCUGGCUCAGAGUGAACGCUGGCGGCGUGCCUAAUACAUGCAAGUCGAACGAUGAAGCUUCUAGCUUGCUAGAGUGCUGAUUAGUGGCGCACGGGUGAGUAACGCAUAGGUCAUGUGCCUCUUAGUUUGGGAUAGCCAUUGGAAACGAUGAUUAAUACCAGAUACUCCCUACGGGGGAAAGAUUUAUCGCUAAGAGAUCAGCCUAUGUCCUAUCAGCUUGUUGGUAAGGUAAUGGCUUACCAAGGCUAUGACGGGUAUCCGGCCUGAGAGGGUGAACGGACACACUGGAACUGAGACACGGUCCAGACUCCUACGGGAGGCAGCAGUAGGGAAUAUUGCUCAAUGGGGGAAACCCUGAAGCAGCAACGCCGCGUGGAGGAUGAAGGUUUUAGGAUUGUAAACUCCUUUUGUUAGAGAAGAUAAUGACGGUAUCUAACGAAUAAGCACCGGCUAACUCCGUGCCAGCAGCCGCGGUAAUACGGAGGGUGCAAGCGUUACUCGGAAUCACUGGGCGUAAAGAGCGCGUAGGCGGGAUAGUCAGUCAGGUGUGAAAUCCUAUGGCUUAACCAUAGAACUGCAUUUGAAACUACUAUUCUAGAGUGUGGGAGAGGUAGGUGGAAUUCUUGGUGUAGGGGUAAAAUCCGUAGAGAUCAAGAGGAAUACUCAUUGCGAAGGCGACCUGCUGGAACAUUACUGACGCUGAUUGCGCGAAAGCGUGGGGAGCAAACAGGAUUAGAUACCCUGGUAGUCCACGCCCUAAACGAUGGAUGCUAGUUGUUGGGGGGACUUAGUCUCUCCAGUAAUGCAGCUAACGCAUUAAGCAUCCCGCCUGGGGAGUACGGUCGCAAGAUUAAAACUCAAAGGAAUAGACGGGGACCCGCACAAGCGGUGGGCAUGUGGUUUAAUUCGAAGAUACACGAAGAACCUUACCUAGGCUUGACAUUGAGAGAAUCCGCUAGAAAUAGUGGAGUGUCUAGCUUGCUAGACCUUGAAAACAGGUGUGCACGGCUGUCGUCAGCUCGUGUCGUGAGAUGUUGGGUUAAGUCCCGCAACGAGCGCAACCCCCUUUCUUAGUUGCUAACAGGUUAUGCUGAGAACUCUAAGGAUACUGCCUCCGUAAGGAGGAGGAAGGUGGGGACGACGUCAAGUCAUAUGGCCCUUACGCCUAGGGCUACACACGUGCUACAAUGGGGUGCACAAAGAGAAGCAAUACUGUGAAGUGGAGCCAAUCUUCAAAACACUCUCAGUUCGGAUUGUAGGCUGCAACUCGCCUGCAUGAAGCUGGAAUCGCUAGUAAUCGCAAAUCAGCCAUGUUGCGGUGAAUACGUUCCCGGGUCUUGUACUCACCGCCCGUCACACCAUGGGAGUUGUGUUUGCCUUAAGUCAGGAUGCUAAAUUGGCUACUGCCCACGGCACACACAGCGACUGGGGUGAAGUCGUAACAAGGUAAAACU